rnacentral:misc_RNA from 1 species
GAUGAAGAACGUAUCGAAAUGCGAUAAGUAAUGUGAAUUGCAGAAUUCAGUGAAUCAUCGAAUCUUUGAACGCACAUUGCGCCCCUUGGUAUUCCGAGGGGCAUGCCUGUUCGAGCGUCAUAUUAACCACUCCCGCUUGCGGGGUCUUGGGCUUCGCCUCCGGGCGGGCCUUAAAAUCAGUGGCGGUGCCGUCGGGCUCUACGCGUAGUAAAUUUUCUCGCGAUAGGGUCCCGGUGGAUGCUUGCCAACAACCCCCAACUUCUUAAGGUUGACCUCGGAUCAGGUAGGGAUACCCGCUGAACUUAAGCAUAUCAAUAAGCGGAGGA